rnacentral:rRNA from 1 species
UACAGAGGGUGCGAGCGUUCAUCGGAAUUACUGGGCGUAAAGCGUGCGUAGACGGUUAUUUAAGUCAGAUGUGAAAGCCCCGGGCUCAACCUGGGAAUUGCAUUUGAGACUGAAUAGCUAGGGUACGGUAGAGGGAAGCGGAAUUUCCGGUGUAGCGGUGAAAUGCGUAGAUAUCGGAAGGAACAUCAGUGGCGAAAGCGGCUUCCUGGACCAGUACCGACGUUCAGGCACGAAAGCGUGGGGAGCAAACAGG